UCCGAGUUGACCCCGGCAGUCUCCCAUGAGUCCCCGCCAUUACGCGCUGGCAACAUGGAACGAGGGUUGCGCUCGUUGCGGGACUUAACCCAACAUCUCACGACACGAGCUGACGACAACCAUGCACCACCUGUGAACCGGCCCCAAAGGGGAAACCACAUUUCUGCGGCGAUCCGGCCCAUGUCAAGCCUUGGUAAGGUGGGGAUGACGUUUCCAGGUUAGG
rnacentral:misc_RNA from 1 species